ACGUAUUGAACGUGUGGCAGCAACAGUUAAAAUCUGGUUAAAAUUAGUUAAAAUUAAAAUAUAUACGGCUACGAAGUACGGAAACACUUUGAACACUAAAAUCUUUAAGCAAUUUACAUUGUCGCGCUAAAAGAUUGUGUUUUUUUAACCUCGUCGUGAAAGAAAGUUCCACGACAGAUUGCCUAGCCAGUUAAAGUCCGAUAGUCUAGAAGUUUGCUUAAAAAUCGCAAUCUACAUGACGCUGAUUCUCCUGGUGGCGCCCUGCUGUCACGAAGCCUGAAAUUUCUCGUGCCUGGUGAAGCUUCCAUGCAUGUAUACGGGAAUCACGGUGAACGAACCACUUAAAAAUAAAUCAAUUGAG